rnacentral:rRNA from 1 species
UAAGGAAUCUUCCGCAAUGGACGAAAGUCUGACGGAGCAACGCCGCGUGCAGGAUGACGGCCUUCGGGUUGUAAACUGCUUUUAUAUGGGAAGAUUAUGACGGUACCAUAUGAAUAAGGACCGGCUAACUACGUGCCAGCAGCCGCGGUAAUACGUAGGGUCCAAGCGUUAUCCGGAAUCACUGGGCGUAAAGAGUGCGUAGGCGGGUGUUUAAGUGCGAUGCGAAAUCUUGUGGCUCAACCAUAAGACUGUAUCGCAUACUGGAUACCUAGAGGAAUGCAGAGGCAAGUGGAAUUACCGGUGUAGCAGUGAAAUGCGUAGAUAUCGGUAGGAACACCAAUGGCGAAGGCAGCUUGCUGGGCAUUAUCUGACGCUAAGGCACGAAAGCGUGGGGAGCGAACAGG